CUCAAGACAGAAACGGUGAACAGCGGAUCUGCCAUACAGCCACAACUAUGAACUCAGUCACUGCCUUCAUUGCCUGCCUGCUUAUCCUAGGUGCACAAGGACAACCAGCCAGCAAAUCUAAUAAAUGCAAGUGUUACAGUUACAUUGGCAGGAUCAGCCCAAAGCUCAUCAAGGCUGAGCCAGUGAUACACUACCCAAGUAUCUUCUGUCCACAUACAGAAAUCAUUGUUACCACAAAAGCAGAUAUGAAGAGGUGUGUGAGUCCAGAGUCCCCACUUGGACGACACAUUCUAAAAAAUCGUACUUACUAAAACUUACUAAAAAAAGUAAGUCAGAAUGACACGCACGCACAACUCUGUGUGAAGAUGACAAACUAAAGGUCUGUGUUGCUUGUCACUGAUAAUCUCACUUGUUUCUUCAGGCAAGGGAGGAAUGGAGCUGUACAUAUGUUUUUUAAAUAAAUACCAAAAUAAAACUCAUGUG